UUAUGACCAUAUCACAUUGAAGCACCACUUCCUGUACAGUCACCGAAGAUAAACAACAUUGAGCCUGGUCAGUACCUAGAUGGUUGACCAUUUGGGAAUACCACAUGCUGUAAG